rnacentral:ribozyme from 1 species
CAGCCUGCAUGAAAAUACAGCAUGCGAAGAGCAUCUACAAAAAAAAUAAAAAAAAAACCGGGAAUGAACGAGAAAAAAACAUCCAGCACAAAAAAAAAUCUGGGAAUGA